rnacentral:tRNA from 1 species
CAGGAUAUAGUUUAUGGAAAAUUUUAAUUUUGGAGAUUAAGGAAGGGUAAAACUCUAUUCUGA